GCCAGGAGCCAGAUCACUCUGCAACUCACAACUGGCAACCCACUGAAGCUAAGCAGGUGUGAGCCUGGUCAGUACCUGGAUGGGAGAUCUCCUGGGAAAAACUAAGGUUGCUGCUGGAA
rnacentral:rRNA from 1 species